UACCAGACUCCUACGGGAGGCAGCAGUGGGGGAUAUUGCACAAUGGGGGGAACCCUGAUGCAGCGACGCCGCGUGGGUGAAGAAGUAUUUCGGUAUGUAAAGCCCUAUCGGCAGGGAAGAAAUUGGACGGUACCUGACUAAGAAGCCCUGGCUAACUACGUGCCAGCAGCCGCGGUAAUACGUAGGGGGCAAGCGUUAUCCGGAUUCACUGGGGGUAAAGGGAGCGUAGACGGCCAUGCAAGCCUGGAGUGAAAGGCCGGGGCUCAACCCCGGGACUGCAUUGGGAACUGCCCCGCUCGAGUGCCGGAGGGGCAGGCGGAAUUCCUAGUGUAGCGGUGAAAUGCGUAGAUAUUAGGAGGAACACCAGUGGCGAAGGCGGCCUGCUGGACGGUGUACUGACGCUGAGGCUCGAAAGCGUGGGGAGCAAACAGGAUUAGAUACCCCCGUAC
rnacentral:rRNA from 1 species